UACGGAGGAUCCAAGCGUUAUCCGGAUUUAUUGGGUUUAAAGGGUGCGUAGGCGGCCUGUUAAGUCAGGGGUGAAAGACGGUAGCUCAACUAUCGCAGUGCCCUUGAUACUGAUGGGCUUGAAUGGACUAGAGGUAGGCGGAAUGAGACAAGUAGCGGUGAAAUGCAUAGAUAUGUCUCAGAACACCGAUUGCGAAGGCAGCUUACUAUGGUCUUAUUGACGCUGAGGCACGAAAGCGUGGGGAUCAAACAGGAUUAGAUACCCUGGUAGUCCACGCCCUAAACGAUGAACACUCGCUGUUGGCGAUACACAGUCAGCGGCUAAGCGAAAGCGUUAAGUGUUCCACCUGGGGAGUACGCUCGCAAGAGUGAA
rnacentral:rRNA from 1 species